rnacentral:lncRNA from 1 species
CCGAAUUGUUAACAUAUCAACCAUAUUUAUUAAUUUCCAACAAAUACCUAUUACUAUUCAGAAAUCAUUGGUAUAUCUUGGUGAUUGUUGCAAGCAUUGAACUUAUCAUUCUUAAAUGCAUUAUAAAAGCUGUCUAAGCCAUUGAUUAUGCUAGACCAUUAUCGUAUGAUAGAAAGCUAUCCAAACCAAAUUAUCUUGGUACGAACUCUUAUAAUUGACUGAGAUGAACAACCCUCCUUGAAGGGGAAACCAUAUAAUUGUCGGGAGACCGACGUGCGCACAUGAGUAUGAUUAAAUGUUAUGCAUAACGUAGGGUACUUUAGGCUGAUCACCUGCGAUACUUGUUCUAUUGGAUUAUCAGUAUAUUACUGUUAAUUCUAGUACUAGAAGUUCAUAGUCCUUAGUGACUGCUCAGUAUUCAUUAUUUUGAAAUCUCGAAUUGAUUAAGCAUUGAAUCUUAUUGAUAUCUUUUUUUCCUUAGCGACUAUUGUUGAGAGCCAUCGAUAUUUCUUGCUAUCCUUGAACUAUCAUUAUUGUUGUACCCUUGAGAAUUUAAAACUAUAUUGAACACCCUUAUUGUUAUAUUACUUGUUGAGCAAACUUGUUGCUCAUUUUUUCUUUCCUUAAAAACAUUUCAGUUAAGGCAGAACAAGGCGAACCCGCAGGCAUUGAUAAGGG